GGGUGCGAUCAUACCAGCACUAAUGCACAGAAUCCCAUCAGAACUCUAUAGUUAAGUGUGCUUUGGCGAGAGUAGUACUAUGAUUGGUGACCCCCUGGGAAGUUCUUGUGUCGCACUCC